GGCAACCUGUUAGGGUCUGCUUUUGUCCUCUGGGAGCUUUCCUUGUUUGGUUUUCGUAGUAAAUCUUACUGCUGCUCAGUGUUUGUGUCUGUGCUGCGUUUGUGAGCUGCAACGCUCACGGUAAAGGUCUACAGCUUCACUCCCGAAGCCAGCGAGACUGUAAAUCCACUGGGAGGGGCAAAGAACUCUGGACGUGCUGCAUUUUUAGGAGCUGUGACACUCACCGCGGAGGUUUGCAGUUUCACUCCUGAAAUCAGUGUAGACCACGAACGCACCAGAAGGAACAAACUCCAGACACACCGUUUUUAGGUAACCGUAACAUGUACCGCGAGGGUCUGCGGCUUCAUUCUUGAAGACGAGACUAAGAACCCACCAACUUCUGGACACAAAACCACCCCAAAAAGUGAGUUUCUAAAGGAGAAGCUAAAAAUAAAGACCACGAAAGUGUUGCCCAUGGUGAUAGCUCCAGACGUCCGGAGACGGUGUUCAGCGCUGCUGCAGGAGAGACUUUAUCUUCUAUUCCGUUGGUCUGCCUAUCUAGAAAGCAAAAUUUCAAAUACUGAGACCGAUAGAUGAAGAUGCUUUCGCUUCUUCCCUGUUUCAUCCAGUUGGGGACUAAGUGUCCUUCGGUUUGGACUGUGCAGCUCGGGUCACCUUCUCUGUGGAACAGCAAGUGAAGAAAGAGGCGCAGAGCCCUGUGUUCCAAACCCUGGAGACAAUUGAGAAAGUGGGAACCCAUUAUUCCCCAAGCCCAGCCAGCAAACCUCACCGAUGAAACAGAUAAGCACUUCCUGCAGGUGGGGCCGACACUGGCCAGGACACAGCCCUCUCUCUCACAGCAGUGUUCCAGGUUGUUUGUGCACAAAAUUUCACAAAGGUCAGAGCUCGUCUCUCCAAACCGAUGAGCUUUGCGGUUAACCUGAAUUCACUGAACUGGGAUUUAUUAUUAUUAUUCUAUUUUACCUCUAACAGAAGUUUAAGGUUCGUGUAAGUUUCGUUCCUCUCUGAUUGUAGGGGAGACGCCCAGAGCGCCAUUUGGAGGAGAGAACCUGGCAUCCUUUCCUUACCUUGAUUUCAGGUACCCAGCUCCUAGCAAAUGUGUCUUCCUCCCAGGGUUCUUUGGGGUAAAGAAUUUGGUGAGAAGGAGCUGAAUGUUAUGGCUGCGUUUCUCAGCCACUUGCUCGGAGCCAAGCAUCCUCUCACCCUUUCUUUCAACUGGUAGCCAGAAAAUACGGGUUGAGCAUCAGGGAUUCUCAACCGUGUCAAGCUCCAGCCCUGCCUGUUGUGACAGACGUUUCCUGAUGCCUGUUGCUCUCUGGAAUGAAGGUCAUGGGCAGUAUUACCCACACAGCCAUUCAAAAUCAGUCGGCUUCGUGACCUGUUGUGAAAGGAUGGCGAUUGCCGUGCCAGCACGUGACAUGGACUCGGAUGCCUGCGCACACAGGUGCACCUUCCAGAAGGUGAGGUCAGCCCGAGCGCCCACCGCCAUGUGAGUGCGCUGCUGCAGUGACCAGUUGCUGGAAUGUUCUGAACAGAGCCCAGUGCCACCCACUUUGAUGUGCGCUAUUGUUAGAUCUCCGGAAAAAUCAGAGUGCAUUAAAUUCCUGCAAAAAUUC
ensembl:lncRNA LINC01511 long intergenic non-protein coding RNA 1511